UACGUAGGGGGCGAGCGUUGUCCGGAUUUAUUGGGCGUAAAAGGCUUGUAGGUGGCCAUGCGAAGUCGGAUGUGAAAUCUCCCGGCUCAACUGGGGAAGUGCCUCUGAUACUGCGGGCCUCGAGCGAGGUAGGGGCGUGCGGAACUUCCGGUGGAGCGGUGAAAUGCGUAGAUAUCGGAAGGAACAUCGGUGGCGAAAGCGGCGCGCUGGACCUCUUCUGACGCUGAGGCGCGAAAGCCAGGGGAGCGAACGGG
rnacentral:rRNA from 1 species